rnacentral:lncRNA from 10 species
CUUUCUGGAUUCACUCUAGGACUAUCUGGAGAAAGAGGUAAGAAUGAUCAGAUUCUGUAACUUAUUGCUUUUCCUUUCCUUCUGUACUAUCCCUGCACACAGAUCUACAGUUUGAAAGUACAGUAAUAAGAUCCUCACCCAGCCCCAUCCGCAGGAAUGCAUCAACAGCUGGCCAAACAUAAUCCAACACACAGAGCUGCCUUUGUAGAAUUAGUAACAAACAGUGGAAGGGCCAGACAGGCGUCCCAGAAGAGCUCCCCAUGACAACUGGGAAACCUCCUCACCCCCAGGGUUGAGCUGACUCCACUGAGCUGGGGUUGGAGAACCCCAGCUCUCACAUCUGAAUCUACAACAAGCCUCAAGUGCCUGCCCUCAACCUCACUAGAAGCUAUUCAGAGGGCAUUCGGCUCUCCAUAACAGCAAGUUAGAAGCAAGCAUUCUCCAUACUAACAACAGCCAUACUCUGCCUCAUGGCACAUGCCUUUUGAAAUGCAACACUGCAAAUCUCCAAAUCACAUGAACAGCAUUUACACCUGUACCUAACCAUCAGCUGUGAGCUGGUAGGACCACCUCUCGUCUUUAGAAAAUAAUUUCUUUUUGCAAAUUAUAGGCUGAUCCCGGCACUCUGAAACAUGUAAAUAUAACACUGUAUUCAUCUCCACUGAGCAUUUAGCAUCUGAAGCCUGUGGUAGCCAGCUGGUCUCAAAGUCAUCUGGGAUACAUUUAUUUUGAUUAAAUUGAUCAGAUUUCUAUUUACAGGAUAGAAUUUUUUUGCCAUUACUGAAUACAGCUGUGUUUACAGGGAUUUGUAGAAGAAGAAAACAAAACCCCACAAUCGGUCCUAGCAAAGCACAGAGCAUUCAGAACUGGAAGGAGUUAAAACAGAGGGGGCUUGCUUUCACAGUAAAAAGAAAAUUCUGCAUGCAGCUGCUUUGGCCAUGCUGUCUCACUAGUCAGGAAAUGGGUGUUGAACUGGAGCUGAAAACACAAGCUGCAAUCAAGCCCGAUCCAGCAAAGUGACAGACUUCCUGUGUAAAAUGGUCAGAAACCUUUUUUCAUGUCUCUACAUGCAUGCACAUGCAUUUAAAUCCAUGCUGCGAGGCUGCGAUUUUCUCUGGGGACACUGGUACAGUCACCUAGCCCAUCAGUUCCUUCGUCGACAGCGCCGGGGACAUCCAGACUACAAUUUACAGUUCCUCUAUCCAUGUGCUGGGUUAUAAAUUAUGCCAUCCUCCCUAGAAUGAGAAUGCACAGCAAGCGGCAGACAAUCACCCGGCAUUCGGCAUCUCUUUCUUUUCACGCGCUCCCUCGCUCCGCCUUUCUCCAGCUCUGCCUUCUCAGGCAGAUACAUCAGAUACCUUGUUUAUCCAUCUUCAGCUCCACUCUGAGGUAAAAUGCCACCACAUCUCGCCAUGGGUUGUCCCCCCAGACUAAAUCCCUGGGAACAGCCUGAGCUGGGUGCACGCGGCCGAGGCGACGGCUGCCCUUGCCCUGCGGAGCACGGGUGGGCAUUGGAUGUAAGGUAUUCCUAACUUCCCCUUCCCCAGUCCUUGGCGUCCUCUCUAGCCAUCCCACCCCAGGUCUUCUGCAGCUUCACCCUGUCCUCCAAGUCCCCUCGCCCAGCUGCGAGGCAGGAGACCCCGGCCGGAGCUCCGCCAGCAGGUCCUUCUUUCGCAGGGCGCAGACGCACGAUUCCGGGAUCGGGUGCACCACGGCGAAGCCCAGGCGGGAGACGGCAGGAGCAGCUCAGGUAACCAGGGGAAGCUUGCGUGCCCACGGAGAUGCAGCCGUGGAGCUGUGAGGAAAGACGGUCUGGCUUCAGAAUUUAAAAAAAAAAAAUAGAAAAAAAAAAAAAAAAAGAAACACAAAACAGCGCAGCUCGGCGCCAGCGGGGGUGGAAAAAACAGACACAAACCAUAAAAAAAAGCAAGAGUUAAAAUCAAAUUUCAAAAAAAAAAAAAAAAAAAAGGAAAUACAGAGAUCAGAGUACUUCAUGCGACUUUUAUUUCUGACGUUUCUUGGUUUAUUGGCCUCCCCACCCCCUCCAAAAUCUGUUCUGUCCCUGAACACCACUGUCUGUCCAUGAGUGCCAGUCACAAAGACUCUUGCUCCCAAGUGCUGCAGACCCAGCAUCACAUGAGAAACCACAUGACAAACUGCAGUCGGCUGCUGAUGUGGUCAACUAUUUCACCCAGGCAGGGGGAGCAGGAGGGAGACAAACCUCAAGUGAGACAUGCCCCUCUCAGGCGGCCAGGAAGACAUUUCCUUAAAAGAACAAUGAGAAGCAUGCCUCUGAAGCUUGCUUGGGAAUACAUAUACACUUUUACAUAUGCGCACUUACAGAGACUAAAGAGGCCGUGGAUACUUGAAGACAUUCUGAGGAUGCUGUACCACAGACACUAGCUGGAUGGCAGCAAUAUUAUUUCUAGUAUGUAUUAGUCAAAGCUGAUUCCACUUAAGUGGAUUCCUGAAAAGCACACACCACGUCUUCAUAGCAUGAUCAGGCUUGGAAAACCUAUUCUAUUAUCUCUCCCUGCAAUCUGUAUCUGAACCUGCAUUCUGAAUAAUUUAUUUUUAGACUAAUAAGAUGCUUGCCAAGACUGCUCCCUUUCUUCGGUAAGCAGCACAGGCAAUAUUCACCCGAGUAGGAAAGCCUCGUCCCUUUGUAGGGAGAAGAGAAGAGAUGGUUUUUUAAAAAUGCAAUUUCUUAUUUAAAGGCAGACAAACACAUAGCAAUAAAGUUCUCGCAAGUAAUCUUAAAAACAAGUGAAAUGUUUCUGCUUCAUUGAAUCGACAUGUCUCUUAUUUGCAGUUUGGCAUCUCAUGCUGGCAAAUGGUGGUGAUAUUUUUCUAACACUGCUCAUGGCUGCAGCUACAGCCCUUAAGCCACAUGGAUAUUGCUACUUCUCAGCAGGGUGAGAGCAAACAAUUGCUUUCUGGAGCACCUUCCUGUGGAGGUGCUGCACUGCCAGGUAUGCUUUACUAGUUACAUUAAGGCAAGUACAAGUGAGAUGGCCUCAGGGUCUGUAGAUUCUGUCACUCAUCCUGGAAUUAAGUAAGUUGCCUAUUUGGGACGUCCUUCCCAAGACGUGAGAGGUAUACCUUUUUAGCAAAAUUGAUUAUGCCGGCUAACUAGAACCGGAGAAUCAUUAAACAGGUGGGAGGUAAUUGUCUACAACAUGUCUUAUUGGACUGUGUAGAUAUCAAGGUAAGUGGCCUUUAAUUCAUUUGAGAUGCCCUUUCAGCCUCUCACUGUAUAAGUGUGUCAAGGAUGGUCCCAGACCCUGGGGUUCCAAUGAUGAGCAAGAGAUGCAUGGUCUCUGCCAUCUUGGAGCUCAAGGUCCAGUAACUGCACACAUCUUUUGUCCUUCAAGACAACCUUUUCCCAAUUUGAAUUCUCCAAAGUUAACCAAGGAAGAGAUCCAGCAGUCACUUUUUACCCUUGCCUUUUCA